rnacentral:lncRNA from 1 species
GCUGUAUACAAACACUUUCUUUCCUUGAUGUCACUCUGUUCUUCCUUUAAUGUGAUUGGUCAUGCAAGGAAUUCUGCCUAGCAACAAGAGAACAAAAGCACUGAUUGGUGGAUUAGAAAAUUCGUCCUUUUGGCCUCGUCUAUUCGGUUGCUGACACCACAUUUCAAGACGGAAGUUUUUCUUCGUGUACUAUGUUGGGUGACAUGAGAUAAGAAGAUGUGGAAAUGUUUGCAUGUUCAACAGAAUUACGGACAAAAAUCUACAGCAGGAAUUCUAUGAAAACCUGGACAGACACAGUUCACGGUUCAUGGACCUUUUUACAACCAGAAGGGGGACUCCUGGUCAGCACUUGUUGAAGUUUUUACAGCAAAUAGAGGACUGCCUAUCAUGCUCGGAGAUGAAGACUCUUCUUUCUUCAAGUCAUGUUUAGUGUCUGA